rnacentral:rRNA from 1 species
GGUUAAUCAUAGAAGGUAAUAAUCCUGUAGUCGAAAACGAAUUCUCUCUUGAGUGGAUCCUGAGUACGACGGAGCACGUGAAAUUCCGUCGGAAUCUGGGAGGACCAUCUCCUAAGGCUAAAUACUCUCUAGUGACCGAUAGUGAACCAGUACCGUGAGGGAAAGGUGAAAAGUACCCCGGAAGGGGAGUGAAAGAGAACUUGAAACCGUGUGCUUACAAGUAGUCAGAGCCCGUUAAUGGGUGAUGGCGUGCCUUUUGUAGAAUGAACCGGCGAGUUACGAUCUGAUGCAAGGUUAAGCAGAAAAUGUGGAGCCGUAGCGAAAGCGAGUCUGAAUAGGGCGAAUGAGUAUUUGGUCGUAGACCCGAAACCAGGUGAUCUACCCUUGGUCAGGUUGAAGUUCAGGUAACACUGAAUGGAGGACCGAACCGACUUACGUUGAAAAGUGAGCGGAUGAACUGAGGGUAGCGGAGAAAUUCCAAUCGAACUUGGAGAUAGCUGGUUCUCUCCGAAAUAGCUUUAGGGCUAGCCUCAAGUGAUGAUUAUUGGAGGUAGAGCACUGUUUGGACGAGGGGCCCCUCUCGGGUUACCGAAUUCAGACAAACUCCGAAUGCCAAAUAAUUUAACUUGGGAGUCAGAAUGUGGGUGAUAAGGUCCAUAUUCGAAAGGGAAACAGCCCAGACCACCAGCUAAGGUCCCAAAAUAUAUGUUAAGUGGAAAAGGAUGUGGCGUUGCCCAGACAACUAGGAUGUUGGCUUAGAAGCAGCCAUCAUUUAAAGAGUGCGUAAUAGCUCACUAGUCGAGUGACACUGCGCCGAAAAUGUACCGGGGCUAAACAUAUUACCGAAGCUGUGGAUUGUCCUUUGGACAAUGGUAGGAGAGCGUUCUAAGGGCGUUGAAGCAUGAUCGCAAGGACAUGUGGAGCGCUUAGAAGUGAGAAUGCCGGUGUGAGUAGCGAAAGACGGGUGAGAAUCCCGUCCACCGAUUGACUAAGGUUUCCAGAGGAAGGCUCGUCCGCUCUGGGUUAGUCGGGUCCUAAGCUGAGGCCGACAGGCGUAGGCGAUGGAUAACAGGUUGAUAUUCCUGUACCACCAUUAUUCGUUUUAAGCGAUGGGGGGACGCAGUAGGAUAGGCGAAGCGUGCUGUUGGAGUGCACGUCCAAGCAGUGAGAUUGAGUGUUAGGCAAAUCCGGCACUCUUAAGAUUGAGCUGU